UCAAAGAAGCUUAUAUAAUGGUUGUAAUAUGGACAACGAGUUUCUACCUGUAAACCUUAAAUUUACAGACUAUAAGUGAUUAAAAUAUA
rnacentral:ncRNA from 1 species